rnacentral:lncRNA from 1 species
AUGGUUAGUAAUGGUUUUCAAAAUGUAUUCUUGUUCUGUAUGCUUUAAUUUAAACUUUCUAGUUGUUUUCCUUCUUGCAACGUCAGGGUAAAUUUCAAUUGUAGUCCCUGAAUUUAGGUGUUGUAGCAAGAUUGUCCCUAAAUCAAUUAGUACUUAGAACUAUAAUGUAAUAAAAAAAAUAGUCCCCCUUACCUGUGAUAUGAUAAUCAGUUUUCAGAUCAUUAUGCUGACAUGUCAAGAGUUUUAAAUUAAUAGAUUGCUUAAAUACCUUUAAAUAAAAAUAGAAGUUUCUCCCCAUGCUCUUCUCUCAUUUCCCUUUCAUUUUCCUAUCGUUUCCUCUCCAUUUUCCUACCAAGCAAAUAUUUUGACAUAAAUAACCUCCCAUUGUCUCUAUCCUCUCACUUUUUGAAGACCUCCAAAACCAAAGAAUCCUCUUUGAUCCACAUAACUAAACCAAAGAAGACUCUCCAUCAUCAUGCUCAAGUUUGCAGCUCGAUGGAGAUGAAAAAACUUGCAGGUUAAGGUGGAUGCAUUCCUUUGCUCAUCAAAUUGCUAGAGGCUAAAUCAAACAUCAUGAGGAGGUUUGUUCACAAGCAUUUCAAGUUUGGUGAUCCUUUCAUGGGCCUUAACCGCCUUUGUAGUAACAUCCUCUCAACUUUCCAUCCAAGUACAUGCCUUAGGUUUCUCAUGACAUGCCCCUUAUUCCUUCAUUGGUAGCCGGUAACCUUUGUGUAAAUUUUGGUGAGUGAAGAAAAAAUUAAAAGCAACACAAGCACAAAAACAGGAAGGAAAAAUGGAUACAAGAAAUUUUGUAGAGGUUUGACCAUCCCAAGUCUGCAUCCUCUCCUCAAAGCCUUCUUAUAUAGUUUUCUCCAUUAUCAAUCUUAUUUAGAUGAAUUAAACCCCUUCUCCAAUGUUGAGGGAACCCUUGCUUUCUUAUAAUUUCUUUUCACUUGAGAGCAAUUUAAUGUUUAACAACUUCUUUAAUCAUUGAAGUACACCCAACAACCUUAUUUCAAUCUCAAAGUGCAAAAAGAUUACAACUAAUGCCCUUAGCUUUCAAAUAAUGAAAUACUUUACGUCAAGUUCUAGAGAGAGAGAAAGAGUGCAAAUGCUUAGAACACAAUGCCACCUUGAGUAAUUGGUAACUCUUCUCAAUAAAAAACAACUUCUAUUUAUAGUUUUGGCAUAAACAUGACUGCUGAGGGUGCCUUAAAUGCAAUUAAAGUCAGUCAACCACUUAAAUUGCCAUUAUAAUAGGUUUUGAAAAUCUGGGUUUGGCAAUUGGAGUGCUAAUGUUUGGCAAUCAAAGGCCUUGGAGCCAAGGAAACUUGCCUAAAGUGACAUCUUCAACAACCAAAAAGUCCACUUUCGGCAAUUGAAGAAAGUUCACUUUCUGGCCUAUACUGCCUAGCUGAAAGUCAUUUUUGGAGGCCAAAAAUAACUUUUUAAAAUUGUAGAAAGAUAAUAUUUGUUGUUGUAUUUCACAAUAGAGAUUACAACCUAUUUAUACAUGAGAGACUUUAUCUAAACAGGAAAGAAAAUCAAGUCUAUGAUUAUACAAUCUCUACGAUUAAGAACUGACCCAUCUAUCAAUAUUUACUUCCUAUAUUAACAUAUUUACUUCCUAUAACCUAUAACACUCCCCUUCAAGUUGGAGUAUAAAUGUUAAUCAUGUCCAAUUUGUUACAUAUAUAACCUAUAACGCUCCCCUUCCUAUAUUAACAUAUUUACUUCCUAUAGCCUAUAACACUCCCCUUCAAGUUGGAGCAUAAAUGUUAAUCAUGUCCAACUUGUUACAUAUAUAAUCUAUUUCAGCCGUAAGAACAACCAAUCCAAAACAAUCAAAAUAAACAAAGGAUCAGACAAAACAGUAACUCGUGAUGAACAGUAGCCGUGAACAAUACCUGAUGAAUAGUGCCUGAUGUCUCCAAAUGUUACCUUUUAUGGGUAACCCAAAAUGAACAUAGCCCUAAGUCUCCAAAUGUUACGCUUUAUGGGUAACCUCGAUGAAUAGAGCCCUAAGUCUCGAAAUGUUACCCUUUAUGGGUAACCCAAAUAAACAGAGUCUUAAGUCUCCAAAUGUUACCUUUUAUGGGUAACCCGAUGA